AGGGACACACAAGAAGUGGAGCCUGUGGCCUAAUUUGACUCAACACGGGAAACCUUACUCGGCCAGGACACUUUUAGGAUUGACAGAUUGAGAGCUCUUUCUUGAUUAGGUGGGUGGUGGUGCAUGGUCGUUCGUAGUUCGUGGAGCGAUUUGUCUGAUUAAUUUCGAUAACGAACGAGACUCCGGCUUACUAAAUAGUCUAAAGUUCGCAGGGACUUUUCAAGGCUUCUUAGCAGGAUAAGUGGCGCUUUUUAAGCCACACGAAAUGGAGCAAUAACAGGUCUGUGAUGCCCUUAGAUGUCCGAGGCUGCGCGCGCGCUACACUGGAGAGUUCAGAAUGUUUCUUCCUACUUCGACAGGAGUGGGUAACCAUGAAAUUCUCUUCGUGACUGGGAUCGGAGCUUGCAAUUAUUCUCCGUCAACGAGGAAUUCCUAGUAAGCACUAUUUCAUCAGAAUGUGCUGAUUAUGUCCCUGUCCUUUGUACACACCGUCCGUAGCUACUACCGAUUGAAUGUUUU
rnacentral:rRNA from 1 species